GAUGAACGCUAGCGAUAGGCUUAACACAUGCAAGUCGAGGGGCAGCAUGGUCUUAGCUUGCUAAGACUGAUGGCGACCGGCGCACGGGUGCGUAAAGCGUAUGCAACUUGCCUCACAGAGGGGGAUAACCCGUCGAAAGACGGACUAAUACCGCGUACACGCCACCUUGGGCAUCCAAGGUAGAGGAAGUGAAAUUCGCUGUGAGAGAGGCAUGCGCCCCAUUAGCUAGGUGGUGAGGUAACGGCGCAUCAAGGCGACGGUGGGUAGGGGAGAGGAGGGGGGGAGCCCCCACAGUGGUACUGAGACCCGGACCAGUCUCCUACGGGACGCAGCAGUGCGGGAUAGUGCACUGGGGGCGAGAGCCUGACCCCGCCAAGUCGCGUGAAGGAUGACUGUCUUAUGGAUGGUACCCUUCUUUUAGACGGGAAUACCAGGAGUCACGGGUGACUCCCUGCCUGUACCGGAUGAAUAAGCACCGGCUAACUCCGUG
rnacentral:rRNA from 1 species